rnacentral:rRNA from 1 species
UACGAAGGGGGCUAGCGUUGUUCGGAAUCACUGGGCGUAAAGGGCGCGUAGGCGGCCGAUCAAGUCGGGGGUGAAAGCCUGUGGCUCAACCACAGAAUUGCCUUCGAUACUGGUUGGCUCGAGACCGGAAGAGGUAAGUGGAACUGCGAGUGUAGAGGUGAAAUUCGUAGAUAUUCGCAAGAACACCAGUGGCGAAGGCGGCUUACUGGUCCGGUUCUGACGCUGAGGCGCGAAAGCGUGGGGAGCAAACAGG